rnacentral:rRNA from 1 species
AUCGGGGGAAGGUGUGUUGUAAAGGAUGAUCCGCCUAUUAAUUUACUCUUAUUAUGUUGGUGUAUAUCUAGUUUAAUAUUAUUGUCUAGUGACUUAAUUUGUGUAGAAUUUAGUUAAGCUAAGUCUAUGUGCUGCAUAUAGGAGUUUUCAUGCGUUACAUUUAUAAAGAGUUAGUUGUAAAGACUAA